UAACGCGUGGAUAACCUGCCUCACACUGGGGGAUAACAGUUAGAAAUGACUGCUAAUACCGCAUAAGCGCACAGUACCGCAUGGUACAGUGUGAAAAACUCCGGUGGUGUGAGAUGGAUCCGCGUCUGAUUAGCUGGUUGGCGGGGUAACGGCCCACCAAGGCGACGAUCAGUAGCCGGACUGAGAGGUUGACCGGCCACAUUGGGACUGAGACACGGCCCAG
rnacentral:rRNA from 1 species